GACGAACGCUGGCGGCGUGCUUAACACAUGCAAGUCGAGCGGUAAGGCCCGUUUCGGGGGUACGACGAGCGGCGAACGGGUGAGUAACACGUGGGUGACCUGCCCGUUAGCUCUCGGGAUAAGCCUGGGAAACUGGGUCUAAUACCGGAUAUGACUCCAUGACGCAUGUUGUGGGGUGGGAAAGCCUUGUGCGGCUAGGGAUGGGCCCG
rnacentral:rRNA from 1 species